CUUUUCUUCUCUCUUUUUCCACUUUCUCUCUCCUCACUUACUUUAUUAUAUUUUUAAGUUUUAUAUUGGGUUCCAUUGGGUAUUACUCUUUUAAAGAGUAACUUGCUAGUUCUGAUCCUCGGAAAUAUCCGAGAAGUUCCUGUUGUAUCCUGGGGGACUUACGCAAUACACCGCGGAUAAGUCCUUACGGACAGUGAUUACUCACGCCUCGGGAAAUCUUUUAUUUUGUGUUCGUUUUAAAGCCAAAUACUUCAACAAU
rnacentral:lncRNA from 1 species